AAAAGAACACUAGACAGAAAAGAAAGGUGAUGAUGAUGGACAAACUGGAUAAGUGUCAUUUCAGUUGAAGUUUCUAUGAGUAUUUGAGCAUCUGAUCACUUCAGAAACUCUUUUUUCUUCCCUUAGGUUUUAAGUUUUUGGCAAGAGUAGAUCUCACUUUCUCUCUUAACCUCCACUCCUCCUACUCAGAACAUAGUUCAUGACUGACUGCUUUUUUGCUUCAAACACCUCUACAGAAAUUGCUGUCGCCAUGAUUGACAAUGAUGGCUUAAAGGCUACAAAUCAUUUAACAUAUCUCAAGCCUCAAUUCCUUAACUUCAAAAUACUUUAUACUUGAU
rnacentral:lncRNA from 1 species